AGAAGAUCAACUAAAUUUCACCUACUAUAGGACAUCUUUCCUCUCCAGUCAGCUUCCUCUUCUCGACUCCUACAGGCCUUAAUGUCUGUGCUUUUCAGUUAGCCCUUGUCUCACACAGCUUGUCUUUUCAUCUCCCUCAUGAGCUCCUUAAAAACAAAAGCUGCAGCUCCUUUUCUUUACUCUCUUGGCUCCUAAUUCCUUGCGCAGAGCCAGUGCUCAAUCUACGUUGAUUGAGGGCUGACAAGAAAUUGGAUUUGUUUCCAAAAAGAUUUGAUAUGCUCCUUCCCUGGUGGACUUUGAAAUAUAGGGUAGAUUUUCAGGUGCGCAGUAAGUGGAGUGAGAACCUUUCUAGAAACGAAAAGGUAAAUCGUGUGAGUCCCCCUGUCCAAGCCUGUGACUAUAUGAAAAUAAGUGCCUUACUGACAGUGUAAAACUGAGAAAACACUCUUUUUGGCUUCCUUCAUUUUAGACAAAGCCUGGCUUUGUCACACACACUCAGGUUUCAGAGAGCUCUGGCAUAACAGGCAGCUUCCCCACUCGCACUGAAAGUAAACACAGACAGGCUCUCAUCCCACAGAGGACAGAAUGAGCAGCUUACUCCGGAAAGCGGAGGACAGAUUGCCAGCAUCAGCACAGAAGGGAUCAGCUGCACCACAGAGGCGACCCUAUUACUUCAUGCACAGAGCCGGGCUUCCAUCAGGGUCCUUCCAUAAGGUCCUCGUCCCCACACUUACUGGCACAUUGCCCUGGCCCACAGAUAAUGUACAAAAUCUUGCCUUGCCUUUGCAUGGCAUUUUGCCUUGUAGGAUCUCUGCUAAGCCUCUCGCCACCUUCCCUCAUGGACAGAGAGAGGAAAGGCCCCCUUAGAGGGACCCCUGGGUGUGUCACUAAUCCAUCUGCCUGCUUCUAUGUCACAUUUAAUUACUCACUCAAUACAGAAUUAUCUGUACCGAGACUCCAGACUAAUGAGAUGCUGCGAAGCCUUCAAACUGGGGAUUACAAACUGCAGCCUGCUGUACCAAGUGGUGGGAAAACCGAAGCUAGAAAGGGCAGAAUGGCAUAGCUCAAGGCCAGGAUUCACUUCACAGGUCUUUUGCUGCUGAUCUUCUGGAAUAUCCUCCAGCAGAACUUUGUGGGAGGUGACCUCCCGCAAAAAAGUCUUACA
rnacentral:lncRNA from 1 species